AGUGAACGCUAGCGGCAGGCUUAAUACAUGCAAGUCGUGGGGCAGCAUGAAGUAGCAAUACUUUGAUGGCGACCGGCAAACGGGUGCGGAACACGUACACAACCUUCCUUUUAGUGGGGAAUAGCCCAGAGAAAUUUGGAUUAAUACCCCGUAACAUAGCGAUGUGGCAUCACAUUGCUAUUAUAGCUUCGGCGCUAGAUGAUGGGUGUGCGUAUGAUUAGAUAGUUGGCGAGGUAACGGCUCACCAAGUCUACGAUCAUUAGCUGAUGUGAGAGCAUGAUCAGCCACAUGGGCACUGAGACACGGGCCCGACUCCUACGGGAGGCAGCAGUAAGGAAUAUUGGUCAAUGGACGAAAGUCUGAACCAGCCAUGCCGCGUGAAGGAUUAAGGUCCUCUGGAUUGUAAACUUCUUUUAUAUGGGACGAAAAAAGGUCUUUCUAGAUCACUUGACGGUACCAUAUGAAUAAGCACCGGCUAACUCCGUGCCAGCCGCCGCAGUAA
rnacentral:rRNA from 1 species